AUGAGCUGGGCACCCAUGGGGUGUAGCCCCCGACUGCCCGUGUAGUGGACGGACCAAGCUGUAUAAGUAGUCAGGGUGUGACCAAGGUGGUCGGUGAAAGUCAUAGAGACACAGAGGAGCCGAGGCGAUCGACGAAAGUCAUGGAGACAUAGAGGAGCUGAGGCGUAUGUAGGUAUACGGAAUACGUAAAAUAUUUAAUUGUAAAUAAGACUUAGCUUGAUUCGUGGUCGAGUUGGAGAACCCGCGUGUUGUCUUCACGUUUAGGCUUAGAAGCCCCCAAGGGUAGAGAUUGAAAAUAAAGAAUAUGAGAUUAGCUAUUGCGGAGAUCAAAUAGAUCUAAUACCAAUGCUGGGAACGACUCACCAGGCUUCUUGAAUAGAUCUUGAUAAUAACUGCCAUCAAGCUCACUGGGGAGGAUCUCACGAUCACCCCUACCUGGUGCACCAACUGUCAGAUUUCUAGCCCGGCAGUCCACCUAGGGGGUACCCAGAUGGUUGAUUUGUAGGCAGAGAGGAUUGCAAGAUCAUGAACUUGAUGGUAACGCAAGGCACA
rnacentral:lncRNA from 1 species